UACGUAGGGGGCAAGCGUUGUCCGGAAUUAUUGGGCGUAAAGAGCGCGUAGGCGGUCCGAUAAGUCGGCUGUGAAAGUCCAGGGCUCAACCCUGGAAAGCCGGCCGAUACUGUCGGACUAGAGUCCGGAAGAGGCGAGUGGAAUUCUCGGUGUAGCAGUGAAAUGCGUAGAUAUCGAGAGGAACACCAGUGGCGAAGGCGAGUCCCUGGACAACUCCUGACGCUGAGGCACGAAAGCUAGGGGAGCAAACAGG
rnacentral:rRNA from 1 species